rfam:Ipomoea nil DNA, scaffold: scaffold3147, cultivar: Tokyo-kokei standard.
UGGCUGUAGCUAUAUCAAGUUAUUCUAGGAGUUAUCUGGCCGGUUGUUUUUGGUGUUCCUUGAUCGGGAUCCCUACUGUAAACAUAUCUGCUUACCGAACUCCACACAUAU